UGUUUUGGAGUUGACGCUUUAGAGAGAUAAACAAUGGCCUUUCUCUCUCUUGAAUUAAACGAGUCCCAUGCGUAGGCGGCACGUUACCUAAGGCGCUCCAGCCCCCUGUCCCUCUCUCUAGGGCCACGUUCCAUUUCUCAAGCGAAGUGAAUUCCGCCUCAGGCGAUUUUCAUCUCUUGAAAGUUGAAACCCUAAUUUUCACAUCAGCGCAGUUUGGUUUGUUUGGGGAAGCUGAGAAGGGAGGCCAGGCGAAAUCAGUUUGCGUUUUUAUCUGUCAAAAUGAGCAAGAAAAUUUACAUGUCCAUGGGUAGGAAGGCCUUGAUUAAGAGAGAUCUAGAGUCAAUAAUGGCAUAUAAUGAAGGGGAAGGCCUUCUCACUGUUAUGUGUGUCGACGCUGCUUGCAAGAACCCACAGGCUAUUGAAAUAUGGAGGAGGCAGCGAAGAACCCUUGAAAGCAUGCCUUCGCAACUUGCAGGAGGCCUUCUCCGUCUCCUAAUUCAACGACACCUCAUUACACCUUCAUUGCUGGAGGUCUUCAAGACAUGUAUAGAGGAGGUUGAUUUGAUGGGUGAGAGUUCUGUAGAUGCAGAAUGGAUGGCUUAUUUGGGGGCAUAUCGUUAUCUUAGGAGUUUGAAUCUUGCAGAUUGCAAGAGAGUUACUGAUUUUGCUCUCUGGAAUAUCAGUGGAUUGAGCAGUUUACAAGAAGUUGACUUGUCCAGGUGCUCAAGAAUUACUGAUAAAGGGAUUGCACAUCUUUUGUCCAUCCAAAAUUUGCAGAAAUUAUGUCUUCCUGAAACUGCAGUGAGCUCCAAUGGAGUCCAUCUUCUUUCUUCUCUUCGAAACCUCACUUACUUGGAUUUAGGAGGCAUACGUGUCACUGAUUCAGCACUAAGCUCGUUGGCGACAUUGACAGAUUUGGAGUACCUCGAGUUAUGGGGAAGUGAUAUUUCAGAUCAAGGAGCUGCAUUUCUAACAAGGCUAUCAAAGUUGAAUUUCCUGAAUUUAGCCUGGACCAAUGUCACUGAGUUGCCAAAUUUUCCCUCUUUAAAAACUUUAAACAUGAGUCAAUGUGCCAUAUCCUCUAUCUUUCAUGGAGAGAACGAAACGAGACCGCUAUUGUAUAAGCUUCUUGUCUCAGGAGCCAUAUUUAAGGAUGUGCACAGGGCCUUCUCUUGUCUGGAAACAGCCAACUUAUCAUACUUGGAUAUAUCUGGCUCCAUUAUGGAUGAAUUCCACUUUUUGUCUUCUAUGAAAGCACUGGAAUAUUUGGAUAUAAGUUCAACCAAAAUGGGAGAUAGUUCAAUAGAUUCACUUAUAUGUAUUGGAGAGAAUUUGAGAGUUUUGAAGCUACGUAACACAAAAAUUACCUCUAAUUGGGUGGCUGCUCUUGCUGGAAAUGUCCCUAAUCUUGAAGCAAUCUCCUUGUCCCACACAGCCGUUGAUGAUGAUGUCUUUUCAUAUAUCAAACUGAUGCCUGCUUUGAGGGGAAUCGAUCUGAGCAACACAAACAUCAAAGGUUUUCUUCAGCAGCACAUUAAUGGAGUUCUGAAAACAACUCCCUCCCUGGUAGCUCUGCAAGAUCUCAAGAAUUUGGAAAGAUUGGAUUUGGAAGACACCCAAGUCAGGGAUUCGGCAUUGCAUCCACUAUCUCGGUUGAGUGAACUGAUCCAUUUGUCCCUUAAGAAUGAUUUCCUCUCUGACAUCACUCUCCACCCAAUGUCCUCCAUCCCAAAAUUGAAGUUUCUUGGGAUUCGAGGUGCGGUUUUGACCAGUGCGGGUCUUUGUUCUUUCAAGCCACCAGGCAUGCUUGAGACCCUUGAUCUGAGAGGAUGUUGGCUUCUGACAAAUGAAGGAGUUUCACAAUUUUGUAGGAGCUACCCUUGGAUUCACGUAAAGCAUGAGUUUGUUAAGAUGUCCUCUACAGAUUCAAAUUCCUCUUCUGAUUGUUUGUUGCCAUGGCAUGGAACAUCAGGAACAUGUAGACCAAGGAACAUCAGGAGGAAAACGCCCUCAUCCAUGCUCAAUACCAGGAAAAAGUUUGUAGAUGAACGUAUAAAAUACAGCCGAUCAGAGUUGCUAAACCUGCAGCCAUCACAUCUAUCCAGGAUAACUCUUUCAUGAUACGGUAUGUUGCUCCAGGAAAUGGACUGUAAGGAGCAAUACGAUCCUUUUGGAGUUCUUUCCCAUUCCCAGUGUUUUGAAAAUCGAGUCGGCCAAGGUACUCGGCCCUUGUAAGAGCCAAGUUACUCAGGGUGCGUCUAACUGUGAUUGUUUAAGGCGCCAACCUUACACAAACCUCACCCGAUGAGAUAAAGGGUUGUAAAGUGAUGGACUAUUUAGAGGUCAGUCCUGGAAGAGAAGCAAUAUGUGUGAAGCUUGCCAUUACUGAAAGCCAAGGCCUCAGAAAGAGGUCGUGUUUUUUGCUGCUGCUGCUUUGGACCGAUGGGAGUAUCAAUUGAGAGGCACCAUUAUUACAUUCAUGGCUUCCAAACUCAUGAACAAAUUUCUAGCACCGUACGACCAUAGCUUGGAAGUAUUAAAGAGAUUGAAGUGAUUUCUGAAGGGUGGACUUCUUGUUUACUGACGCAGAGAGAGCAUAUAACUAAGAGAGAGACUGCUUCUUUGUAGGUUACAGAGGGAGCAUAUAACUGAAGAGACUAGUUUAGCACGUGUAGAGAGAGUAGCUUAGUUCUUGGAGAGAGAGGAACUAGCUUACUAUGUAUAGUAUGCUCCUGUGGGAGUAUACUAUACAUUGAUUCAAUCCCACACAAGAGCUGCUUGAGAAUUUAAAUUUUAGGAUCCACCUAAGUAUCAUUCGCUAGAUGAUUAUUUUUGACGACAAAAAAACAAAAACUAGGUUUUUAACGCUUAGAUUUUACCCACGUGUGAUUGAAAUUGUUUUUAUUUAGAGGUGGUCCCGUGGUUCUGGAGGUUACGUACC